CUAAGGAUUAUGUCAGUGGAACAUCCUUGUGAUGAUGAAGCUGCACAUUCGGAAAUGAACCUUUGGUUCAUACGUUGACAUUUUGCGUUCAGUUUUGAAGGUUCAUAUCAAACGAUUUCAAUCGUUUAUAUAUGAAUAUCUUCAAACUUGUUCAUUGAAAACUGGAUAAAACGACAUUGAAGCAACAAAUCAAGACAAUCAACCGAGUCGGACACAUUUUUGUGAGCCGAACAGCGAUUCUUUUGUUCUUUCUUCUCAUUCAUCGCUGAAUGAAAGAAGAACGUUAACUUUUU
rnacentral:misc_RNA from 1 species